AGUGAACGCUGGCGGUAGGCCUAACACAUGCAAGUCGAACGGCAGCACAGUAAGAGCUUGCUCUUACGGGUGGCGAGUGGCGGACGGGUGAGGAAUACAUCGGAAUCUACUUUUUCGUGGGGGAUAACGUAGGGAAACUUACGCUAAUACCGCAUACGACCUACGGGUGAAAGCAGGGGAUCUUCGGACCUUGCGUGAUUGAAUGAGCCGAUGUCGGAUUAGCUAGUUGGCGGGGUAAAGGCCCACCAAGGCGACGAUCCGUAGCUGGUCUGAGAGGAUGAUCAGGCACACUGGAACUGAGACACGGUCCAGACUCCUACGGGAGGCAGCAGUGGGGAAUAUUGGACAAUGGGCGCAAGCCUGAUCCAGCCAUACCGCGUGGAUGAAGAAGGCCUUCGGGUUGUAAAGCCCUUUUGUUGGGAAAGAAAAGCAGCAGGUUAAUACCCCGCUGUUCUGACGGUACCCAAAGAAUAAGCACCGGCUAACUUCGUG
rnacentral:rRNA from 1 species